CGUCUCCGUGACGGGACAGUCUCUAGGCCCGCCUCUCCACCUGGUGAUGGUCAUUGUCUCCCUGAACAGGGAUGGAGGAAAUAACAUCCCAAGAAGCAGCAGAAUCACCAAGGGUCCAGUUUCAGUCUUUGGAGAGCCAGUCUGAAUGUCUUUCCCCAGAGCUUCGGUUUCUGCGGGACACAGAGAUGGAGCAGGGAUACACUGAUGGCAUACUUCUCCGCCUUCCCACCACCCGGAUUCAUUGUGUGAAUUCCUGCCCAGCCCUGAGUCAUACCCAGGCAAGUGCUUUCUCUGGAGAAACACUUGCAGUCCUUACAGCAGGAAUCACCAAGAGAUGGCCCAGGUAUCGACUUUCCAUCGGGAGUGCUUGUCCCAGCACGGAAACUCCUUUUCCAAGAUUGUAAGAUAUCAAACUUGGUUGAUGGAAUAUAUGUUCCUUGGGAUGCCACCAUUAUGUAAAGUUGCCGCUCCCUAAGUGACAUUUGGUGAAUUUCUAAAGUGGAAGCCUUCCUUACAGUCACGUGCAUUUGGAACUCAGUUCAUUCAUAAACACACUUGGUGGUCACUACUUGUGUGAAAUGCCACAAAGCUAGCACUUCUGUUGCCAUCUUUUCCUGUUGUUUUAGGGUAGGGAACAGAUGCUGUGUGCUCUUUCUACAGUGAGUGUAGCCUGUCCACUGUGAUGCCUCACUUGUGUGACCCCACACUUCCCUCACGUUUGGUGUCAUUUUCCUCUUUAAAUUCUGUCAUCUUGUACCUGAUUCUUUGUGGUACCUCACCAAUUGCUGUAUUUAUAUUACCUUCCUAAUUAAGUGUUCUUAAUGCUGUCUUUGAUAGCGGGGAGUACGGGGCACAAAAACUAAAUAGUUCAGGGCAUCAAAAUGGAUGUAUUUUUAAAAGCUUUGUAAAUUGUAAAGUGUGUAAACUACUGUUAAUUUUACCUAAUACAGAAUGUCCAACAAUUCACUUGUGUACUUUUUGUAGUAAAGAAAUUUUGUAGUAGUCUAAUUCAAGCUUAUAAUAUACUACCAAGUGGAACUUUACCUCAUUUUAUCUUGUCAUCUUUUCACACACAAAGGACACGCAUACAUGCAAACCUGCAUACAGUGUAAGAAACCCUGCUAACACUACCCAGCUUGCUUUUGUGACCAAGCCAGCAUAUCCUUAGCAACUAUUUUAACAUCCUUGGGAAUUCAUUUUAUCUUUGUGGGUCUACCAUACGCCAUUUCAAAUGUAAGGGUAUAUAAACAUUUACUAAUUGUACUUAGUAUUUGGGGUUAUAACAUAAGACCUGUAUAAUUCAGUCCAUGGCUUAGUCUCUUUCCAGUUCAUGUGUAUUUCCCAUGGCUCUAUUUGUAUUUAUCACAGGCUCCAAAAGUGGAGUCCCUUUAUCAAGUGUUUGCACUAGACAACACUGAAUAAACAAACAGCUGAGUUUACC
rnacentral:lncRNA from 1 species